UACGUAGGCAGCAAGCGUUGUUCGGAGUUACUGGGCGUAAAGGGUGCGUAGGUGGCGGGGUAAGUCUGGUGUGAAAGCUCCGAGCUCAACUCGGAAAAGCAUUGGAAACUAUCCCGCUUGAGGGUCGGAGGGGAGACUGGAAUUCUCGGUGUAGCAGUGAAAUGCGUAGAUAUCGAGAGGAACACCAGUGGCGAAGGCGAGUCUCUGGACGACUCCUGACACUGAGGCACGAAAGCUAGGGGAGCAAACAGG
rnacentral:rRNA from 1 species